CACACUUUAAUGACACCACAUCCAGAAAUCAGAAAAUAUUCACACUCAUUAGAAGAAUCAGACAUGGUUAUAAAUCUGCUCCACUCCCGGGACCCCCAACCCGCCUUCUAUAGGGUGACCUGCAGCAAACCCCCCAGUCACCUGAGCAGAGCCAAAUAGAGCAACAUAGAGCAGAGCAACGCAAACUAUAGCGACCCCCUGAGCUGUAGUGCAGCACAGCCCCAUAGUGCAAUGUAGGGUGGAGCUGGGCCGAGUCUUAUCAUCCAGCGCAAAGCAAAAUAAACCAGCACAAAGCAGGUCUCCCCUAGAGGCUGACAGCCCCGGCAGGUCUCCCCUAGAGGCUGACAGCCCCGGCAGGUCUCCCCUAGAGGCUGACAGCCCCGGCAGGUCUCCCCUAGAGGCUGACAGCACCGGCAGGUCUCCCCUAGAGGCUGACAGCCCCGGCAGGUCUCCCCUAGAGGCUGACAUCCAGUGACAGCCCUGGCAGGUCUCUCCUAGAGGCUGGCACCCAUCGACAGCCCCUGCAGGUCUCCCCUAGAGGCUGGCACCCAACGACAGCCCCGGCAGGUCACCCCUAGAGGCUGGCGCCCAGCGGCAGGUCUCCCCUAGAGGCUGACAUCCAGCGGCAGGUCUCCCCUAGAGGCUGGCACCCAGCGACAGCCCCGGCAGGUCACCCCUAGAGGCUGGCGCCCAGCGGCAGGUCUCCCCUAGAGGCUGACAUCCAGCGGCAGGUCUCCCCUAGAGGCUGACAUCCAGCGGCAGGUCUCCUGAUAACACAUGAUGUGACC